rnacentral:tRNA from 1 species
GGAGUUGUAGCUCAGUGGUAGAGCACUCAUCUUGCAUGUGUGAGGCUGUGGGCUCAAUCCUCAGCACCA